rnacentral:rRNA from 1 species
CAAUAGCGUAUAUUAAAGUUGUUGCAGUUAAAAAGCUCGUAGUUGGAUUUCUGGUGGGAGCGAUCGGUCUGGCGCUUAGCGCGAGUACUUGCAUCGUCUCUGGCCAUCCUUGGGGAAAGUCUGUCUGGCAUUAAGUUGUCGGGCAGAGGAUCCUCAUCGUUUACUGUGAAAAAAUUAGAGUGUUCAAAGCAGGCUUAUGCCGUUGAAUAUAUUAGCAUGGAAUAAUAAGAUAGGACUUUGGUACUAUUUUGUUGGUUUGCGCACCAAAGUAAUGAUUAAUAGGGACAGUUGGGGGUAUUCGUAUUCCGUUGUCAGAGGUGAAAUUCUUGGAUUUACGGAAGACGAACUACUGCGAAAGCAUUUACCAAGGAUGUUUUCAUUAA